UCUAAAAAAAGCCAGCCGCGCUGCGUCGCGAGUAUAAAAGGAAGACUUAGCGCUUCUCUCACUCUGCGGGAGAGGGUGAAAACGAGGCGAGAGUGUAUAGAACUAGGUAUAGCGCGUGCAGUGUAGAAUAGAAAAGCAACGAGGAGAGUAAAGAAGAAGGAGGAGGAGGAGGAGUUGUAGUAGUGGAAGAGGAGCAGCCGCGCUGCCAGAAAUAACUAAUAAGACAUUCACUCUGAGACGGGCGGCCAUCCGGCCCGGACGAACGCGCUGAGACACAGCGCAGGAUUUUGGUGGACAAAGGGGAGAACCGCUUGGGGCCCUUCAGAGAGGGCCCCACUCCAGAAGAGCCCGCCCCAAGGCGGAUCACAGGGCGGAAAGCAUGGAGCAGUUCGAGCAGCUGCUGACAUGCGCGAUCUGCCUGGACCGCUACAGGAACCCGAAACUACUGCCAUGCCAGCACAGCUUUUGUAUGGAGCCAUGCCUCGACGGGCUGGUCGAUUACGUUCAUCGGAACAUCAAGUGUCCGGAAUGCCGGGCCGUUCACCACGUGUCAUCUUAUCAGGGCGUGCAAGCCUUCCCGACGAACGUAACGCUCCAACGCUUUCUCGAGCUGCACAUCGAGAUCACCGGGGAAUUACCGGAUCCCACCAGCGGCCAAAUCAUGGAGCGCUGCAGCGUCUGCUCGGAGAAGAGCUACUGCAACCUCUGCGCGCACUGCGAGAAGAAGUGCUGCCCCGAGUGCAAGGAGGAACACAUAAAGAUCCUCCGGAAGAACAUCGGGAGCAUUAAUUCACAGGUACGAAGGGCACUGCACAGACUGCAGGAGGCGCUGGCGCAGGUCGAGAAGAACACCCUGGCACUGCAGACGAACACGGCGGUGGUAAGCGAGGAGGUCGACGAGUUCUACAGGCGGGUGUACAAGGCCCUGAAAGACCGAACCGAGGUACAUCGGAACGAGAUCGAGCGCUACCACACCACCGAGCUCAAGGGCCUGAUACAUCUGAAGGAGAACCUCGAGCAGGAAAUUGCCAACAUUCAAAGUAACUGCGACCUUGCCGAUGCCCACAUAAACGAGAAUGUCAACUGGGACGACAACGAGCUGCUCGACACCAAAGAACUUUUCUUGCGCACCCUCGAGUUCAUUAGGAACUUCGAUUACGAGGCGGGCGACUACUCGCGGCGAUUGCGCUUUGGAAUGCAGCAAGAUCCGAAUACACUGGUCGCUCACAUAGCCGGCUACGGUGAGAUCUCCAUCAACCCCGUUCCUGGCGGCAAUGCGCUGCUCGGUAGCUCGAGCAGUUUAGCGGUGCCCGGCGGCUCGGCGGGGCUCAUGCGCAGCAAGAGCGACCAUCGACUUGCCUCCCAGUACCGACAGCAGGACGACGACCGCACCCAUGGCAGGAACCGAUACGUCCCCGACUACGAGUACGACACCCCGGAGUACGAGGCGCCUCGGUCGCGGUCGCGGUACCGGUCGCGCUUCAUGCGCAAUCGGGACGGCGAGGACUCGGACGGGGAUACGCGCUCGACGGUGCGCUUCAACGCGCCCCAGGAACCAUCGGCUCUGAGGGAGCGCGAGCGUGUGCUCGACACCGAGGACGCCUCGAGGGGACCACUCUCGGGCAUCUUCAGGCUCACCGACUCGCCGCGUGUUAUGAAAAAGCUCAACGACUGCGAGCGCGCCGGCAAACGAAAGAAGGACGAGCCAGCCCAGCAGGCCCAGCAACCGAAACCUCAGGUCCAGCCAGUUCAGAGGAAGGCUGCGCCACCGGCGGUCGGCCGACAAGUCAGCGAGGACGACGAGAUCGCCCGUAUUAAGAAGCAGAACAAGAACGCCCCGCAACCAGCCGCCGUAUCGCCGGUCCAGGAAACCCUCGAGGAACGACCCUCUCAACCGCUGGCAGCUCAGCAGCAGCACACACCUAGCCGCGAGAGCGAACAGGCCGAGGAGACUGCUAGGAAAACACCUAUUUCGAGCAGGCGAACGUCGGCGGACGUGCACGCGCCGGGAGGCCGCAGCGCCUCCUCGGAGUCGAGCACGAGCUCCGAGAGCUCGACCGGCUCCGGGAUCCGCAGCACCGGCGCACCCUUCACCACCGAGGAGAUGAAACAGAAGUACCUGUCGCGAGCCCCGCAGACCAACACGACCAACACGUCCACAGUCUCACCCUCCAAUCAGAACUCGCCCGUCACCACAGCCACCAACGCGCCACGACCCUUUCAGAGCCGUUUUUUAGGUAAAGGUAACCGCGCGGCGCCUCCACCGCCUCAGCCGUCCCCGACGAGUCAGUCGGGGCGCGAAGAGCCCAAAGCCGCCGCUGCUGCCGGCACCGUAGCUGCGAAAAAGGACGAGGACGAGGACGAGGAGGAGACCAGCAGCUCGUCCGAGGAGACCGAGUCCGAGACCGAGGAGGAAUCCGAGACCGAGAGCCGGACCCCAGCCGCGGCCUCGGCGCCUGCCCUCUCCAACAGUGCCAUGUCCAACCACAACCCGCCGAACCGCAGCGAGUCGGCGAUGGCGCGAACCGACAUCGGACCCCUACUGGCCCGCAGCGCCGAGGCUCGACGAGGCAGCAAGGAGGAGUCGCCUAGCACGAGGUACGGCACACCGAGGAGUAGUCCAGCGCAAUCCGUGACCUCGCCGACGAGCACGACCACGUCAUCGACGCCCGGCGGCUACACCAGCAGCACGAAGAGUAGCCCCAAGAUCUUCGUCGAGGGCAAGCAAUGGACUUCGCAGGAGGACAGCAACACCACCACCACCAGCUCAAAGAUCCCCAAUAACGACGAAGACGACGCGACGAGGAACGAAGACGACCGCGAGCGGAACAAUCGCAGUCACUCCUCCGAGGGAACGAGCGAAUCCACCAACUUGUCCAAAACCGACGACGAUGAUUCCGAAAGCGAGGCGAGCGAUGACGACGUACUACCCGACAAGGACAAUGAGAGAUUUGAGACUGAAAGCAAAACUGCGGAGGCUGACGUUCCAGGGAAGCUUCAAGAUAACGGAGACGAAGACGACGAAGAAGAUGAAGAUGAUGAUGAUGACGAUGAUGAGAGUGAUGAGAAUGAGGGAGAGAGUGCUGUUGUUAAGCAAAAUGGUUGGGCGAAUGGUCACGACGAGACAGAGUCAGAGGAGGAAUCGGAAGAAGACAAGGAAGAGGAAGAAGAAGACAGAACCGGUACAAAGAAUGAAGCAACUGACGGCAAUUCCAAACAUUCAUUUAUCGACGAUAACGUUCCUAUAAAGUAUCAAACGCUCGAGGAGCAGCAGAACCUCUUCGACGACAACGGCUGGGUGGUGAACGACGAGAGCCUCAUCUCAGCCACUCAAAAGCCCAUCAUGGAGAACGGCUGGCCAAGCAAGCCCAACAACGAGAUCAACAACAACAACAACAGCGACAACGAUAACAAGACGACAAGCGAGAAGGAAGGCCAGUGGAGCAUCGGCGAAAACGGCUGGGUGGUGGUGAGCGACGAGGAGAACGACAAGAGCCAGCAUCAGGCCGCCACCGCUAACUUGGAGAACGUCGACGGUGCUUUGGUGACAACAGUGAUGUCGAGCGCGCCGCUAAAACGAGACUCCCUCGAGGAUAGCGCGAACGAUACGAGUUUACCCAUGCAAAUGCAGUGCGAGUUCAGCCUCGCGAAGAUUAUCCUUAGGCCUUCCUCUCAGGCACACGGGACAAGCCUCCUUCGAAUCUUCUGACGACGAUCAAAAAAACCCGUCAGGCUCCCCCACGUCCCCUAUAGCAGCUCCCGCUAUACCCGCGGCAGCAGGUUCCUCCACUAGGGGGCAAUACCUGCUGAAGCGGCGGCAGCUGUUCAAGUUUGGGAUGCGGGGGAGCGAAGCCGGAUGCUUCACUUGGCCGCGAGGACUCGCGGUCGGGCCGGACAACUCCAUCGUCGUGGCCGACAGCUCUAACCAUCGAGUGCAAGUGUUUGACGGUAACGGGAACUUCAUGAGAGAGUUCGGCAAUUACGGCAGUGGCGAGGGCGAGUUUGACUGUCUCGCCGGUGUGGCCGUUAACCGAAUCGGCCAGUUCAUCAUCGCCGAUCGGUACAACCAUCGGAUCCAGGUGUUCGAUCCGUCGGGUCGAUUCCUGCGGGCCUUUGGCUUCCAGGGUACGGCCGACGGUCGGUUCAACUAUCCCUGGGGCAUCACCACGGACGCGCUGGGUUUCAUCUACGUCUGCGACAAGGAGAACCACCGCGUGCAGGUCUUCCAAUCGGACGGCACCUUCGUCGGCAAGUUCGGCAGCUGCGGCUCGGGUCGCGGCCAGCUCGAGCACCCGCACUACAUCGCCGUCAGCAGCACCAACCGGGUGAUCGUCAGCGACAGCAACAACCAUCGCGUGCAGAUAUUCGACGUGAACGGCCGGGUUCUCACGGCCUUCGGUUCCGAGGGCUCCGACGAGGGACAGUUCAAGUUCCCGAGAGGAGUCGCCGUGGACGACCAGGGAUACAUCGUCGUCGCGGACUCGGGCAACAACCGCAUACAGAUCUUCACCCCCGAGGGCGCCUUCCUGAAGGCCUUUGGCAACUGGGGAUGCGCCGACGGCGAGUUCAAGGGGUUAGAGGGCGUUGCGGUCACCUCGGUCGGUAACAUCGUUGUCUGCGAUCGGGAGAACCAUCGGGUCCAGGUGUUCUGACGACUAUUCUUGAUGCUGAUUGCUCUCUUAUCGGUUCUCUCUACCGGGUUUUUUUAUCAUCGCUAUUAUUAUUAUUCCUAUUGUUAUUUAUUAUUGUUCACUGCUCAAGGGAGGCCUGUAGUCGAAUCUCACGGUCUCCGAGACCGCGUGUGCCUUAUCGAUAUUUAGAUACUUAUAUGUAGCAUUUCGAAGAAGAUGUCAAAAGAGCUCAAUCCGAGUGAAAGAUUUAGAAUUUGCGGGAAAAAAACAGAAGUAUUUUGGCUGUAGGCCCUCCUUACAGUAACCUUUUGAGAUUAUUGAAUCACGUAAGGGAGAAAAAAAAUCAUGUGCCAAUUAUUAUUUUCCAACGCUAGGAGGCGUUUACGCGGGAGGUUUCGUUUCUGUCAUUGGUCUUUUAAAAGCGAAAAAAAAUUUCAUUUCUUUGAUUUCUGUUUUGGUAUGGAUUUGAGUCGCGAGGAAUCGCCUGAGUGUAAUAAUGCGCAGACACGCGUAAGCGCGACAACAAUAACACUGUAACACAAAAGUAACGUAAUUUAAUUUGUACUUGAGGAAUGACGACACAUCGUUUGUACUGUUUGUAUGCUUUAAAUAAAUUGUUGCGGGAGAGGUC